UACGUAGGGUGCGAGCGUUGUCCGGAAUUAUUGGGCGUAAAGAGCUUGUAGGCGGUCUGUCGCGUCUGCUGUGAAAAUCCGGGGCUCAACCCCGGACUUGCAGUGGGUACGGGCAGACUAGAGUGUGGUAGGGGAGACUGGAAUUCCUGGUGUAGCGGUGAAAUGCGCAGAUAUCAGGAGGAACACCGAUGGCGAAGGCGGCUUCCUGGACCUGUUCUGACACUGAGGAGCGAAAGCGUGGGGAGCGAUCCGG
rnacentral:rRNA from 1 species